rnacentral:rRNA from 1 species
AGAACGAACGCUGGCGGCAUGCCUAACACAUGCAAGUCGAACGUGAUCCAUGACUUCGGUUGUGGUGAAAGUGGCAAACGGGUGAGUAACGCGUGGGAAUCUGCCCAGAGGUAGGGAAUAACCGCGGGAAACUGCGGCUAAUACCCUAUGUGCCCUACGGGGCAAAGAUUUAUCGCCUUUGGAGGAGCCCGCGUCGGAUUAGGUAGUUGGUAGGGUAACGGCCUACCAAGCCUACGAUCCGUAGCUGGUCUGAGAGGAUGAUCAGCCACACUGGGACUGAGAUACGGCCCAGACUCCUACGGGAGGCAGCAGUGGGAAUAUUGGACAAUGGGGGCAACCCUGAUCCAGCAAUGCCGCGUGAGUGAUGAAGGCCUUCGGGUUGUAAAGCUCUUUCGGCGGGGAAGAUGAUGACGGUACCCGCAGAAGAAGCCCGGCUAACUUCGUGCCAGCAGCCGC